CCCCAAAUCAUAAACCCUUAUUAUUUUCCCCAAUUCUUCCGCAAAAUCUCCAUCUCCAAUAUGAUCGUCUUCCAUCUCCAAUCCGACCAUCUUCUGGCCUCGUCACCAUUCGCCCCUACUCCUAGCCGUCUGUUCACUCUGGCGUGGCCAUCUAUUCGCUCCGAUGUGUCCAUCGUUUUCGUCUUCUCCGGCGCUGCCAUUCGUGCCCGUCGUCACCUCCUCUGCCGUCAGAAGAAGAAAAGUGAAGGAGGGGCGAGUUUUUUUUUUUUUUUCAUGGUGGAAGUUUGAAUUUUGAAAGUGGGUGUACAAAUGUCGCUUCAUUAUCCUAAGUACACGAAGAGGGAUUAUGAGAAAAUGGAGGAAGGUAAGUUGAAUUUGCUUCUAAAACAAUAUGGACUCUGUUUUGAUGGUACCCUUAAGGGAAAAGAGCAUUUGCUAUUGGGAUGUUCUUAUGGCCUUAACAACUUUGAAUUUACCCACCAUGUGUUUGAUGAAAUUCCUAAAAAGAAAAAACUAUUAAAUUUUUAUGAACUCCAACUCUGCCCUUGGUCUUGAUUGUCACAUCUUAUGUUUCUAUGAAUGUUUCUUAGUGUGCUGAGAAUGGUUUUUCAGGAUUCAAUAUUUAACAAAAACGUCUACAUGCUAGCAAGGUUUGAUUUUCUCCAUUUUUCUUUGAAUUGGUGCUUACCUAGUGAUUUUAAGAUAUGAUUUGGAGUAGUUGUGUAAAUGACUGAUAAUUUGUGGGGAUUUUCACUUAAUACAUUUAGGAUUUUCGUUAGGUUUUAUCUUGUUGUACUGUGGACGGAGGAAGAACAUAAGUUUUCCUUGUUGGGAUUACAACAAGAUUUCUUGAUUGAUAGGAUUUUGGAAUCAUGCAGAAAAGUUGAAGUAUUCUCUUAUUUAUUUCUUGAAAUCUUCUAAAAAAGAACAUCAUCAAUCAAUUCUAUCUUGAAACUUAAACAAGAUUUUUUUUUUGUGAGAUUAUGAGAAAAUAUGAUAUUAGUUUGUGCUUGUAAGGUGUUUGACGAUAUGUGUCUGAAGCUUUAAAAGUUUUUUUCUUUUUCUUUUACAUUAUGCGAGUGUGCUCUAUGAUUUGAUUGUUACACACACUAAAGCCUAUUUUUAACUUAGUAUAUUAGACUUGUUGUAAUGAAGUUUAGUUUGGCAAUUGGCAAUUCACCAUUUAGAAAAUUGUUUGAUUUGUUUUUAUUGUGCUAGUUGCUGUCAUUUUGCAGUUUGCACAAGUAUUUGUAGCUAAGUCAUGUCAAUUCAUCUAUAUGGUGCAUAAUGGUUUUUUAGUGUACACUUUCCACCCCUCUUUCCUCCUUUUGGAUAGAAGUUGCUCAAAAUGUUCAAUCUCGUGAAUUAAUUGUUUCCCUGUUUUCAUAGGCAGGAAGCGUGGAUGUUCAAUUAUAUAUACGUUUGUUUAGGAGCUAUUUUUGAUACCCUGAAAUCAUUUGAUUCAUAGACCUAUUAUCUUUUAUGCUAUGAGUUGGUCUAAAUGUAUAUUUUGUUGUCUCCAUUAGACUGAGGAUCCACUAUCUUUUCAUUGUAGAUAAUAUAUGGGUCCUCGAAAAUGUUCUGCUCAGUUUUCCUGAUAAUUUAUGUUCCAGACUUAUGAUGGAAUGAUUAUUGGAGAACAUUCUAGGGAAUCAGAUCUAGAUGUAAGUUGAGAACUUUAUGUUUAGACUUUGGAUCGAAGAAAACUUACCAAUAUCCGUUCUGCUUGCAAAGAUGAAAACAUGAAGAGAAAGGAGAGUGAAAGCAGGUGAGACCGAUAUGUAUAAGAGAGUGAGACAUGUAUGAGAGAAGAUCAAGCGAGAAAUGAGAGACUUUAAUCAAGAAAUUUGGAUAAAUAAUAUAACUCUUGAAAAUAUUUAGUGAAAUAGUGUAGUUUUAAAAAUAUUUACAAAAAUGUGGUAAUGAACCCACGACACUGUUUUUU